ensembl:lncRNA
GGAUGUUGAAAAUGGAGCUGCCAGGCACGAGAAAAAGAGGAAGACCACAGAGGAGAUUAAUGGAUGGAGAGAAGGAGGAAAUGCAGAGGACUGGUGUGACAGAGGAGCAUGCUAUUGAUAGGAAGGUACAAAGAAAUGGAGCAACACCCCAGGUUGAACUAUUAUUCCAAGACAGGUGCAACCCGGUUUCUUUAGGGGGAUGGACUUCCGCCCACGAGUCAGAUGCAAUCUGAGAGGCAAACCGAGUGCACUGUCUUCAUUGCUCCUGAACUUUACCUGUGUUUGCAGGUUUUCAGAUUUUUUGUGUGUCAGACACCUCUGGCAUUUGUAUGAUUUUUAAAAUGGGCAGCCACACAAGAUCGAAACGACCCUUUAAAUUUAUUUAAAUCAUCGUGUUGAGCAAUGACCUCACUGACGCAGAGAAAAGUAUUUCCUGGAUUGGAGGGGAAAGAGUACAGAGGGCCUUCUCGGGCUCACAACACAGCGUUACUGCAGUAACAGCAUGGGUAAUAGAGUCACAGGACUAUGGAUUAAAUGGGUUCAGGAUGGACAGUGGGAGUAGCUGGCAGCUAACAUCCACCCACACGCCAGGAGUUGGGAGGGUGUCAUCUAUGAUUCUUUUCUGAAUAAUGGGAAUUGAGGCCAUAAAGUGUAUCUAAGAGAACAAAAUAAACUCAUUUCUAACCAGGGGACCUCAGCCUCAGCCACGUCAUCCUCAAAUCCACCCUCUGAUCACAUCAUUACAUAUCUCCGGACACCCUCAUCACCACCAAACUGAACAAACAUUCCUCGGUUUUCAUUUCAACGCCAAAGCCAAGUACACAAGAGAGCAGAUUCAACAAAAUUUUUAAAAAGGCCAAACAAGUCCCUCGGCUUCACCCGUUUAAACAUUUCCCCCCAUGCUUUCAGUUUAUUUGAACAGGACACACUAAAGCAGCUACAAGACCUGCAGUUCAAACAUGGAAUUUGGUGUCUAAUGAAGUCAACAGAGAGAUAUCAUCUCACGACACAGUUUUUAUUUCAUCUCCUCUCCAUGCUGUCCUCCUUCCAAGACGAAAAGUCUUCCAGAUUGCUUCCAUCGGAGCUUGGAGGAGUAGUUUGUAUGAUUCUGAGGAUUUGGUUAGAGCUGCAAAGAAAAGAGUGGAGUUUCAAUGUUAAAUUCAGGGUCAUGGAGGUAGUAUAUCACGUAAUAUUAUUCAAACGUGAUCAGACUGUGGGCUCAGUUCCAGUGGUUGGAUGUACAAAUUCAGGCACUUGGACCCUCUUUUUAUGAUUUGUCAUGUUCUUUCUAUGCAAUGGAAAAUAUUGCAGUGCUUAUUGCUCAUUAAAAAAUGGAUGGUUUCCUCACGUCUCCAACUAAUAUUUAUCAUAUACACAACACAUUUAUUAGACUACCCCCCAAUGUAAUGUUCAUACAUUAAAAAUUAACAGCAUUUAUAUGUUUCUCUAAUAGGUAAUUCACCAGUAUGUGCA